UAUAGUUAUGACAAGUGUCUCUCGUUUAUUUGCUUUCGAGUGAAUAUUACGAUAGACAGCUCCCUGGUUGAUCCUGCCAGUAGUCAUAUGCUUGUCUCAAAGAUUAAGCCAUGCAUGUCUCAGUACAAGCCAAAAUAAGGUGAAACCGCGAAAGGCUCAUUAAAUCAGUUAUGGUUCCUUAGAUCGUACCCACAUUUACUUGGAUAACUGUGGUAAUUCUAGAGCUAAUACAUGCAAACAGAGCUCCGACCGGAGACGGAAGGAGUGCUUUUAUUAGAUCAAAACCAAUCGGCGUCAGUAGCGUUUCGGCGUUAUUGUUCGUCGCACUUUUUGGUGACUCUGAAUAACUUUUGGCUGAUCGCACGGUCUUGCACCGGCGACGCAUCUUUCAAAUGUCUGCCUUAUCAACUGUCGAUGGUAGGUUCUGCGCCUACCAUGGUUGUAACGGGUAACGGGGAAUCAGGGUUCGAUUCCGGAGAGGGAGCCUGAGAAACGGCUACCACAUCCAAGGAAGGCAGCAGGCGCGCAAAUUACCCACUCCCGGCACGGGGAGGUAGUGACGAAAAAUAACGAUACGGGACUCAUCCGAGGCCCCGUAAUCGGAAUGAGUACACUUUAAAUCCUAUAACAAGGACCAAUUAGAGGGCCAGUCUGGUGCCAGCCGCCGCGGUAACUCCAGCUCUAAUAGCGUAUAUUAAAGUUGUUGCGGUUAAAAAGCUCGUAGUUGAAUCUGUGUUUCGCGCUGUCGGUUCACCGCCCGCGGUGUUUAACUGGCACGUCUCGCGGAACGUCCUGCCGGUGGAUGCGUGUCCUUUGUCUACUUACCCAUUAUGCGUGUGCAAUUUCGGUUGUUACUGUAUAGUGCGGUGAGGUUCAAAUGUGUCACCAUCCGACUCAAUAAUCCUGUCGCGGUGCUCUUAAUUGAGUGUCGAGGCGGGCCGGCACGUUUACUUUGAACAAAUUAGAGUGCUCAAAGCAGGCUAAAAUUUCGCCUGAAUACUGUGUGCAUGGAAUAAUGGAACAGGACCUCGGUUCUAUUUUGUUGGUUUUCGGAACCCCGAGGUAAUGAUUAAUAGGGACAGAUGGGGGCAUUCGUAUUGCGACGUUAGAGGUGAAAUUCUUGGAUCGUCGCAAGACGGACAGAAGCGAAAGCAUUUGCCAAAAAUGUUUUCAUUAAUCAAGAACGAAAGUCAGAUGUUCGAAGGCGAUCAGAUACCGCCCUAGUUCUGACCAUAAACGAUGCCAGCUAGCGAUCCGCCGACGUUCCUCCGAUGACUCGGCGGGCAGCUUCCGGGAAACCAAAGCAUUUGGGUUCCGGGGGAAGUAUGGUUGCAAAGCUGAAACUUAAAGGAAUUGACGGAAGGGCACCACCAGGAGUGGAGCCUGCGGCUUAAUUUGACUCAACACGGGAAACCUCACCAGGCCCGGACACCGGAAGGAUUGACAGAUUGAUAGCUCUUUCUUGAUUCGGUGGGUGGUGGUGCAUGGCCGUUCUUAGUUGGUGGUGUGAAUUGUCUGGUUAAUUUCGAUAACGAACGAGACGCUAACCUGCUAAAUAGGCGUAUUUCUGGUAUCCUGAAGGCUUGUGUCUCUCGUUUUCUGUCGUAUUUUAGCUGUAGUGUAUCAUCGUUUAGGCGGUGUGCAUUAUACUAGAUGCGUUUCAGUGCGGGAGUUCACAGUUUUUACUACCAGCGUACAUAUAAAUCUUCUUAGAGGGACAGGCGGCUUUGAGCCGCACGAGAUUGAGCAAUAACAGGUCUGUGAUGCCCUUAGAUGUUCUGGGCCGCACGCGCGCUACACUGAAGGAAUCAGCGUGUCUUCCCUGGCCGAACGGCCCGGGUAACCCGCUGAACCUCCUUCGUGCUAGGGAUUGGGGCUUGCAAUUGUUCCCCAUGAACGAGGAAUUCCCAGUAAGCGCGAGUCAUAAGCUCGCGUUGAUUAAGUCCCUGCCCUUUGUACACACCGCCCGUCGCUACUACCGAUUGAAUGAUUUAGUGAGGUCCUCGGACUGGUACGCGGGGGCGUUUUCACGUUCUCCGAUGUCGCUGGGAAGAUGACCAAACUUGAUCAUUUAGAGGAAGUAAAAGUCGUAACAAGGUUUCCGUAGGUGAACCUGCGGAAGGAUCAUUAUCGUUUUAUAAAUGUAUAUAUUUCUACAAUAUAUGCACAAUAUUUAAAACAAUGAUUACUUAAUUCAAAACGCUGUUGAAAGCAUAUAAAAGUUAUAUUAACUUUGAAACAUUCAGUAACUGUUCAAAUGCGUUUUGUUCCUUCUUCAAUAGUUUGCUAUUUAUAGAGAUUAUUGUUGGAGGUUAUUUGACUGAAUGUGGCGAUUAUUCUAUAUUAAAAAUGCUGCAAACGUAUAGUAGAGGUAUGUUUUAGUAUGGUCCACAUCAACUAUAUUGCUGUGUGAUGCAAACGUAAAAAGACCAACAACUUAUUCUGCCUAAUACCGGUAUUUGAAAUGUUGUCUUUACGGCGGUCCACACAUUUUAGGUAUAUAUUGGUGCUGCAAACGUACGAAACUUUAAUACAUGUUCUUUUAGAGUGUUUGGUAUGUGAAAGGUAUCUCUUUGUAUGGUCCACACAUAUUUAAUACAAAAUGCUGCAGACGUAAAAAGGCUAAAUAACUUGUUCUAUCGUUGAACGCUCUGAUAUGUGAAAGAAUCA
rnacentral:rRNA from 1 species